GUGAUUGAAGAUGACUAGAUGGUGUCCCAUAUCCUCACGGGGCUCGAUUAGGACUACAACCCGCUAGUGUCUUCGGUGAUGGGCAUACAGAUCCCAUCUCGCUAAGUGAGUUAUACUCUCAAAUCCUUAACUAUGAUA
rnacentral:snoRNA from 1 species